ensembl:lincRNA
AGUGAAUUGUGGGUGCCCGAUGGGGUGUAUACUGACCUGUUGUAUCGACUCCAGCUGUGGCUGGUGCAAGGGGGAGGAGGAACCCUGUUAUGAAUCUGAUACUUAUGAGGCUGUGGCUGCUGCAACAUCAGAAUCCACUACUGUAGAGCCUGGCAAGCUGGAUGUGGGAGCCACGGAGGGCCACGACCUGCAGCACAUCAGCAACCAAAAGAUGCCCACAGGUCCCCCUGAGGACAGCCUGAGUUUAAAAUCUCUACCACCAAGUGAGGAAGACAAUGAUGAUGCCCAGAUUUUACCAUCACGUGUGCAGGGUACGUACCUUGAACUAGCUCACUUUUUGAGAAACCUACUUGCUGGCUUUAAUAUAUAGGUACCUUAAUCUGGGUUCCUGUUAAAAAUAUUGGGGGUGUGGUGAGAGCAAAUGAUUUUACAAGUGUAUAGGUAUGAGCAGAGGGGCUGUAGAAAUGUGUGUGAACCCAAAGGACCAGCCGGGAGAUUUUGUGUGAGCCGAUGUGUCUUCAUCUGGAGUAGGAGAAGUGAGUGCACCUCUCAGUGACUUAUCGUGAUGUUGGUGGUUCUAAAGAGUGGAUUCUGGAGAAUCUCAGCAGGGAAGAGGAUGCCUUUCCAGGUAGGUAACAAGACAUCAGAUGGGGUCUAAUAAAACAGCAUUUCCAGGAACCUUCAUGUUUUACCUGCUGCUUGGGAGGCUCAGGGAUGGUGUAGAAAGAGAAAAAGGAAAAGUAAAUAUAAGCCACGUUUGUUAUUUUCAGAGUUUAAUGUCUUCAUGGUGAGAAGUACUAUGUUUAUGGGCUUUUGAGUAUCUUGUGUUUUUCAUCAUCUCUUCUUAUUUUAUUAUUGAAAGAUUAUUUUUCUGAGAACACCUGCUCUUUUCUACCUGUGCCACUGCAAAAUGUCAGAGCCUGUGGUUUGGGACACAGUUCUGUCACAGGCAGUUACUUAAUCCUGGAGACAGAAUUCGUCUGUGGUGUGCCCAGAUGCAUAGGAGAAGUGGAUCCUCACCUUAUGAACUGUUGGGUUUCAUGGCAGCACAUUCAUUUGUCUGUCCUUGCUGUUUACCUCUGGUGUCAGGGCAUCUCCCUGGGCAUGGAGGACAGAAUGAAAAUUCACUCUGGGCUCACUGCAAAAGCUGGUGUCUUGGAAAUGGAGAGAAGCACAACCUUGAGCACACUGUCAGCAUUCCAUUUCUUCAUGUGAAUGAGAAUAUGCAGUUUUACCAUCAUUUGUGGAAGAGGCUUUCCUUUCCCCAUUGUGUAUUCUUGGCACCUCUGUUGAAGAUCAGCUGACUCUGUAUGUGUGCAUUUAAUUAUUGGCUUUCGAUUCUAUAUCUGUGAUACUUAUGGGUGCUCCCACGCUAGAAGCAUGCUGUCUGAAUUUCUGUGUUUCUUGUAGAUUUCAACCUCAUGAAUGUGCGUCUUCCAACACUAUUCUUUUUCAAUGUUACCAUGGUUAUUUGAGGCAUAUAAAAAUUCAUUAACGUCUUAGGAUUAUCUUUUCCAUUUCUGCACGGAUGGCUGCUGCCAGUUUGAUAGCAAUUGUUGUGAGUCUGUAGAUCAUGUGUGUAUUGUGUGUUAAUCAGGUUUAGUCUUCCUAUCCAUGAAUGCGGGAAGCCUUUCAACUUAUUUGUACGUUCUUUACUUUCUAGAAUCUUUAUGUUGUCAGCUGAUUAGUUAGAUUUAACAUGACUGAUAUAAAUCUGUGAUUUCUUUUUUUUUUGAGACAGUGUCUCACUCUGUCACCAUACUGGGGUGCAGUGAUGAGAUCUCCACUCACUGCCACCUCCACUCCCGGGUUCAAGUGAUUCUCCUGCCUUAUUCUCCCAAGUAGCGGAGACCACAGGUGCGUGCCGCCACGUCCAGCUAAUUUUUGUAUUUUUAUU